rnacentral:lncRNA from 1 species
GAGCAAGUAAUUGUUCGAUUGAUUGAUUGGGGUUUUGGUACUUAAAUGGAAAUAGCUAGACUUAAGGUUUUUAUUCAUAUAAUCAGGAUUAUAAUCCUACAGAUGCUAAUAAGUUGUAUGCAUGAUAUUAUAGAGCUCAACACUUAAUAACAAACCAUUAGGCUUUCGCUUUCUAGGUCUAUCUAUUGACCAGUGUUGAUCGAUUAUUCUAUAGGAAUAUCGAUUGAUACACUUGUUGAAACGUCGAUCG